AUCCUUUUGUUGUUGUUCUUAAGUAUAACUAUUAGGUGUUUACACCACUGUAUGACACAUGCCUCCUUUAACCCUCAUUAUGACACUAUUAAAUUAUUCAUCUGACA